UCGGGAAUUUUGGACAAUGGGCGAAAGCCUGAUCCAGCCAUGCCGCGUGUGUGAAGAAGGUCUUCGGAUUGUAAAGCACUUUAAGUUGGGAGGAAGGGCAGUUACCUAAUACGUGAUUGUUUUGACGUUACCGACAGAAUAAGCACCGGCUAACUCUGUGCCAGCAGCCGCGGUAAUACAGAGGGUGCAAGCGUUAAUCGGAAUUACUGGGCGUAAAGCGCGCGUAGGUGGUUAGUUAAGUUGGAUGUGAAAUCCCCGGGCUCAACCUGGGAACUGCAUUCAAAACUGACUGACUAGAGUAUGGUAGAGGGUGGUGGAAUUUCCUGUGUAGCGGUGAAAUGCGUAGAUAUAGGAAGGAACACCAGUGGCGAAGGCGACCACCUGGACUGAUACUGACACUGAGGUGCGAAAGCGUGGGGAGCAAACAGGAUUAGAUACCCAGGUAGUCCCUGAGCGGGCUGGCAAGGCGCAU
rnacentral:rRNA from 1 species